rnacentral:lncRNA from 1 species
CCAGCUGUAUCAGAAGCAUAGAAAGCAGGAAAACACCGAUCUGAACCUGCACCAGAUGCAAACGGAAAGACCAAAGAACUGGAAGAAGCAAGAGGAAUUCAGAGAGGCUUACAAAAGAAAAGCCCAGGCUCAUAUUUCCACCCCCACUGCAUGGCAUGAGGAAGAAUGGAGACCCUGUAGAAUGUCCAGACACUACUUGAUGAACAGCCCCCUGGAAUGGAGACCUCGUUUUUAUUUGUAGUUCAUCAAAAGAAUAGGACUUAUCAGGUGAUUGAGGAACUGAAAACAGUCCACUAGUAAAAAGGCUCCAUUUUAUUUAGGACAAUGCUGCCAGCAGCCAGCUAGAACCCCACCUGGGCUUACGUUCAGCUGACAAGAUGCUAAUCUGCACCAUUAGGAACACAGCUGUGCAAGAGAGCCUGGGAAGGGUAGUUGUUACAAG